AUUGGUGACUUUAAUGAGAUACUGACGAGUACGGAGAAAAUAGGAGGAGGAGCUUGACCCCAACACUAUCUUGAUGGCUUUCGGGAGGCUUUGCAGGCUUGUGAACUAGAGGACAUUGGAUUCAAAGGAGAUAUGUAUACAUGGAGAAAUCACAACAUUUGCGAGAGGUUGGAUAGAGCCACAGCAAACAAAGAGUGGUGUGCGCAGUUCCCGGAGUUUGCAGUUAUCAAUGGUCCACACAAACACUCCGAUCACAGGCCUAUUAUUGUUAACACUGAAACUAUGGAUGGAGAAUGGAGGCGAGGGGAUGGGACUUUUCGAUUUGAGGCCCGGUGGUUGCAGGAGGAUGGAUGUGAAGAUAUAAUUAGGGGAGCAUGGGACAGUAGUAGGGAAGCGGGUGAAGGAGGGGUAGCACAAUCGUUACGUAAGGUGGCCGGAGAUGUGAGCAAGUGGAGCAAGGAGGUGGUGGGGGAGUUGGAAGGAAGACUCAAAAAGGCAAGGAAAGAGUUGGAGAACUUCAUGCGAGAGGCGGUGUCAGAACAUAAAAUCAGAGAAGAGGCUAGGUUGAGAUGA
rnacentral:rRNA from 1 species